rnacentral:rRNA from 1 species
UACGUAGGGUGCGAGCGUUGUCCGGAAUUAUUGGGCGUAAAGAGCUUGUAGGCGGUUUGUCGCGUCUGCUGUGAAAAUCCGGGGCUCAACCCCGGACUUGCAGUGGGUACGGGCAGACUAGAGUGCGGUAGGGGAGACUGGAAUUCCUGGUGUAGCGGUGAAAUGCGCAGAUAUCAGGAGGAACACCGGUGGCGAAGGCGGGUCUCUGGGCCGUAACUGACGCUGAGGAGCGAAAGCAUGGGGAGCGAACAGG